CUUCCCAGGCUUCUCUUUUGGCUUUAAACCCUUCCUAUGGUAAGCAGCAGCAUCACGGAAGCAACCAUGAAUGGCUUCAAGGAGAGGCAUUUAUGAGUGAUGAUGCGAGUUCUCAAAGCUCGUUCAACUGCUCUACUUUAAAUUACUGCUCAGGCAAUGAAGAUGACAGCGAUAUCAGAGGAGGAGAGCCUCUCUGCUUCACAAAGGCCCAUAAAUCUACGAGAUUCUGUCCUGCAGACAGCUUGUGUGC
rnacentral:misc_RNA from 1 species